rnacentral:rRNA from 1 species
GGCCGGCCUCUUGUCAUUGACAUGGAGGCUGCCCGCAAGGCCGUCACCGGUUUCCUGGUGGUAGGAUGCCUCCUAUCCCCCUUCCAGGCCAACCCGAGGGUCAUCCUCGACGACCUCCGGAACACGGCGUGGAAGAACCAAGGGGUAACCACCCUCCAAGAGGUGGCCAGCGACGACGGGAGGUUCAUCCUCAAUUUUGCCGCUGAGAGUGACCGUCGGUCUGUGCUGAAGGCGCAGCCAUGACACUUCAAGCGGGAUGGGCUCAUCUUCCCCGAGUUCGACGGCAAGGGCGACCCGACGGAGGUUGACCUUGGCGUCAUGACCAUUUGGGUCCAGGUACGCGAUCUCCCGUUCGAGCUUAAGACAGAGAGUUUAGGGUGGUCUUUCGAGGAUCAGCUGGGAGAGGUGCUGGAGGUAUCGCACCGUAACCAUGUAAUUGUUGAAAAAUACUUGCGUGUGCGUGUGAAGAUCUUAUUGCAUGAACCUCUCAAAUGUUCUGUAGAGUUUACCCCUUUAUGUAGUUCAGAGAUACUCAGAUUUGAUGUAAAGUAUGAGAAGCUACCUUUGUAUUGUGAGUGUUGUGGGAUUGUGGGUCAUACUUCUGGGAGGUUUUGUAAAAUUCCAAGUGAGAAGAGAGUAGUUUGCUUCCCUAGAAAUCUUAGUGUUGAGCCCUACUGGAAGAGUCAAGGUGCUAGCAGGAGGGGUCUCCUCUUCGGGAACUACUCUCGAGGCGACAAGAAUUCGACUACAAGCAUCGUCAACAUCAACAACGCCAAGCCCAUGGAUGUCGUCAAGGUGGCCGCUGCGGUAAGUGGCCUCUCGGUCUCUGAUAAGGGGCCCGCUUCUUCCGUCAAGACGACCACCGGCUAG